ACAAUGGUGGUUCAGUGGUAGAAUUCUGGCCCUCCAUGUGGGAGACCCAGGUUCAAUUCCCAGCCAGUGUG
rnacentral:tRNA from 1 species